rnacentral:rRNA from 1 species
GAUGAACGCUGACAGAAUGCUUAACACAUGCAAGUCUUUGGCAAAUCUGUGCUUGCACAGCAUAGCCAAGGCGGACGGGUGAGUAACGCGUAAAGAACUUGCCCUGCAGUCUGGGAUAACAGACGGAAACGACUGAUAAAACCUGAUAUAAUCAAGCCCACGCAUGUGGUGCUUGAUGAAAAGAAAUGCUGCAGGAGAGCUUUGCGUCCUAUUAGCUUGUUGGUGGGGUAAUGGCCCACCAAGGCAAUGAUAGGUAGCCGGCCUGAGAGGGUGACCGGCCACAAGGGGACUGAGAUACGGCCCUUACUCCUACGGGAGGCAGCAGUGGGGAAUAUUGGACAAUGGGGGCAACCCUGAUCCAGCAAUUCUGUGUGCACGAAGAAGGUUUUCGGAUUGUAAAGUGCUUUCAGCAGGGAAGAAGAAAAUGACUGUACCUGCAGAAGAAGCGAC